GCGUUGCCUUAACGGGCACCGCCGUCUACAUAUCCCUUCUUUUAAUGGUUUUCACGCGGGCUAGUAGCUCAGUUGGUUAGAGCACACGCUUGAUAAGCGUGGGGUCGCAAGUUCAAGUCUUGCCUGGCCCACCAUUAGAUUUUGUUGUUAUGCGAAAGCAAAAUUACAAAAUCUUAUGUCCUGCGGAGCUCAGUAAGUGAGCGAAGCAUGGACUGUGUUCUAGGAAGACGCAAUAAAGGCCCUGCUACGCUAAAGCUACGCAGGGCGCUAAAAAUCUAAGCGAACAAAGUUCAGAAGAUUUUUUGCGGGCCCAUAGCUCAGCUGGGAGAGCGCCUGAUUUGCAUUCAGGAGGUCGUCGGUUCGAUCCCGUCUGGGUCCACCACUGCUUCGCUAAAGCUACGCAGUGCUUCGCACCAGCGAAGAGCAAGUAGAUUUUAUAGCGAACAGUGACUCUGCGAAGCCUUGUGCGAAGCAGAGCAGGAUACAGGCACCCCACAGAAAACCAUUAAAGGGAAACAAGUUUUACCGUGAAAACAACAAGUAACGGUCGUUUCUUGAACAUCGUGAAUAGGAAGAGAAAAGCAUCCAACAACAAUUAUGUUGGUGAAUAGCCAACAUAAUUAAAGUUUGAAUAAAAAAUGUUGAGUUACAUAUCAGUUGACAAAUGUUUUUGUCACUGUGUGUGGUUCAUAUCAAGCGUUAAUAAGAGCAUUUGGUGAAUGCCUUGGCACUGAGCGGCGAUGAAGGACGUGAUACGCUGCGAAAAGCUACGGGGAGUUGCGAAUAAGCGUUGAUCCGUAGAUGU
rnacentral:misc_RNA from 1 species